rnacentral:RNase_P_RNA from 1 species
UCAGCCGGCCGGGCGGCCGCACCUGCAUGUGCCGAAAGGCCGCAGGUGAGGAAAGUCCGGGCUCCACGGAAACACGGUGCCGGGUAACGCCCGGCGGGGGCGACCCCAGGGAAAGUGCCACAGAAAGCAAACCGCCCCGCCACCGGUUUCGCCCCUUGCGGGCGCAAGCGGCGGCGGGGCAAGGGUGAAAGGGUGGGGUAAGAGCCCACCGCGGACGCAGCAAUGCGGACGGCACGGCAAACCACACCGGGAGCAAGACCGAAUAGGGAUGGCGCGGCGAAAGCCGGGGCGGUUUCCAGCCCCAGUCAUCCGGGUAGGUUGCGUGAGGCGUCCGGCAACGGGCACCCAAGAAGAAUGGCCGCCACGUUCGCCCUUCGGGGCGGGCCAUACAGAACCCGGCUUACAGGCCGGCUGACACC